rnacentral:rRNA from 1 species
UGGUGGAUUACCGGUGUGUACAGUCCUCGGGCUGAUGACAAAAUUGCUUUCCUCAACGAAUUCCAUGAGCUCCGCGCCACCAUGGCGGGGCCCUGGUUGCUCGGGGGCGACUUCAACAUGGUUACCUCAACCGCAGACAAGAACAAUGGCCAGAUCAACCAACGUACGACCAGCCGUUUUCGGCGCUUCAUCACCGACCACGCCCUGCGCGACAUCUAUAUGCAUGGACGGCGAUACACAUGGUCUAACGAGCAGCAGAACCCAACCCUCCUCCGCAAUGACCGUGUCCUGUGUACUACCUCCUGGGCGACGGGCCACCCUCAUCACCUCCUGCGCUGCCUCGCCUCCGCGGCUUCCGACCACUGCCCUCUGGUCGUCGAUUGCUCCCACUACACAAUGGGGAAACAACGGUUCCAUUUAAGCAUUUUUGGACUAAGCUCGAUGGCUUCAUGUCAACGGGGGACACGGCCUGGCAUUCCACCCCCUCGACGCGGACCUGUUCUGUCACCUGUUCGCAUGUCUCAAAGCCACCGCUCGCCAAAUCCAAAGUUGGGGCUCCCGAUCCGUUGGCCACAUCUCAUCCCAGCUCAUCACGGCACAUGA